GCCGUAGGGCGCGAGCGUUGUCCGGAUUUAUUGGGCGUAAAGAGCUCGUAGGCGGCUUGUCGCGUCGUCCGUGAAAACUUGGGGCUCAACCCCAAGCUUGCGGUCGAUACGGGCAGGCUAGAGUUCGGUAGGGGAGACUGGAAUUCCUGGUGUAGCGGUGAAAUGCGCAGAUAUCAGGAGGAACACCGGUGGCGAAGGCGGGUCUCUGGGCCGAUACUGACGCUGAGGAGCGAAAGCGUGGGGAGCGAACAGG
rnacentral:rRNA from 1 species